rnacentral:rRNA from 1 species
GACGAACGCUGGCGGCGUGGAUUAGGCAUGCAAGUCGAACGGUAUCAUCCUUUCGGGGUUUAGAGAGUGGCGAACGGGUGAGUAACACGUAGGUAAUCUACCCUCAAAACGGGGACAACCCAGGGAAACUUGGGCUAAUACCGGAUGUGAGCAACUUUUAGUUGUUUGAAAGGUGGCGUAAGCUGUCGCUUGGGGAUGAGCCUGCGUCCUAUUAGUUAGUUGGUGAGGUAACGGCUCACCUAGGCAAUGAUAGGUAGGCGGCCUUAACGGGUGGUCGCCCACACUGGGAUUGAGAUACGGCCCAGACUCCUACGGGAGGCAGCAGUCGAGAAUAGUCUACAAUGGUCGGAAGACUGACAGUGCGACGCCGCGUGAACGAUGAAUCCCUUCGGGGUGUAAAGUUCUUUUAUAUGUGAGCAGUGCUUCUUAUAUUAACAGUAUGGGGAGAGAGAUAUUAGCAUAUGAAUAAGCACCGGCUAACUCCGUG